GCCGGGCGCAGUGGCUCACGCCUGUAAUCCCAGCACUUUGGGAGGCUGAGGCGGGUGGAUCACCUGAGGUCAGGAGUUCGAGACCAGCCUGGCCAACAUGGUGAAACCCCGUCUCUA
rfam:Pan troglodytes isolate Yerkes chimp pedigree #C0471 (Clint) chromosome 10, whole genome shotgun sequence.